ensembl:lncRNA
AUGGCACCUUGGGAUUUUGCUAUGCAACUUACCACACGUAAGACUCUGGUUUCUCUGGUUUUAUAUGCAUCUGAAGCUGUAUUUAACAAAUCAUCCACAAACGUUUCAUCGCUGGAAAAACUAAAAAGAACUGACUGGGUUGUUUUGGGGGUUGUUGGAACCACAGUUGGAGGUUCAGUUGUUUGUGUCGUUUCUGUUGCAGUAGUUGGAAGUGUUGUUGCAGUAGUAGGUGAGUUUGUCGUAAUCUCAGUUGUAGGUUCAGUUGUUUGUGUCGUUUCUGUUGAAGAGACAGUAGUUGGAAGUGUAGUUGCAGUAGUAGGAGAGUUUGUUGUAAUCUUAGUUGUAGGUUCAGUUGUUUGUGUCGUUUCUGUUGAAGAGACAGUAGUUGGAAGUGUUGUUGCAGUAGUAGGAGAGUUUGUUGUAAUCUUAGUUGUAGUUUCAGUUGUUUGUGUCGUUUCUGUUGAAGAGACAGUAGUUGGAAGUGUUGUUGCAGUAGUAGGAGAGUUUGUCGUAAUCUCAGUUGUAGGUUCAGUUGUUUGUGUCAUUUCUGUUGAAGAGACAGUAGUUGGAAGUGUAGUUGCAGUAGUAGGAGAGUUUGUUGUAAUCUUAGUUGUAGGUUCAGUUGUUUGUGUCGUUUCUGUUGAAGAGACAGUAGUUGGAAGUGUUGUUGCAGUAGUAGGAGAGUUUGUCGUAAUCUCAGUUGUAGGUUCAGUUGUUUGUGUCGUUUCUGUUGAAGAGACAGUAGUUGGAAGUGUAGUUGCAGUAGUAGGUGAGUUUGUUGUAAUCUUAGUUGUAGGUUCAGUUGUUUGUGUCGUUUCUGUUGAAGAGACAGUAGUUGGAAGUGUUGUUGCAGUAGUAGGAGAGUUUGUUGUAAUCUUAGUUGUAGGUUCAGUUGUUUGUGUCGUUUCUGUUGAAGAGACAGUAGUUGGAAGCGUAGUUGCAGUAGUAGGUGAGUUUGUCGUAACCACAGUGGUAGGUUCAGUUGUCUGUGUUGUUUCUGUUGAAGAAACAGUAGUUGGAAGUGUAGUUGCAGUAGCAGGAGAGUUUGUCGUAAACUCAGUUGUAGGUUCAGUUGUUUGUGUCGUUUCUGUAGAAGAGACAGUAGUUGGAAGUGUUGUUGCAGUAGUGGGAGAGUUUGUUGUAAUCUUAGUUGUAGGUUCAGUUGUCUGUGUCGUUUCUGUUGAAGAGACAGUAGUUGGAAGUAUAGUUGCAGUAGUAGGAGAGUUUGUCGUAAUCUCAGUUGUAGGUUCAGUUGUUUGUGUCAUUUCUGUUGAAGAGACAGUAGCAGUAGUAGGUGAGUUUGUCGUAACCACAGUGGUAGGUUCAGUUGUUUGUGUCGUUUCUGUUGAAGAAACAGUAGUUGGAAGUGUAGUUGCAGUGGUAGGUGAGUUUGUCGUAACCACAGUUGUAGGUUCAGUUGUUUGUGUCGUUUCUGUUGUAGAGACUGUAGUUGGAAGUGUCGUUGCAGUGGCAGGUGAGUUUGUCGUAACCACAGUCGUAGGUUCAGUUGUUUGUGUCGUUUCUGUUGAAGAGACAGUAGUUGGAAGUGUAGUUGCAGUGGUAGGUGAGUUUGUCGUAAUCUCAGUUGUAGUUUCAGUUGUUUGUGUCGUUUCUUUUGAAGAAACAGUAGUUGGAAGUGUAGUUGCAGUAGUAGGUGAGUUUGUCGUAAUCUCAGUUGAAGGUUCAGUUUUUUGUGUCGUUUCUGUUGUAGAAACAGUAGUUGGAAGCGUUGUUGCAGUAGUAGGUGAGUUUGUGGUAACCACAGUUUUAGGUUCAGUUGUUUGUGUCGUAUCUUUUGAAGAAACAGUAAUUGCAAGCGUAGUUGCAGUUGUAGGUGAGUUUGUGUUUAUAGGGCUGGCGGUAUUUGUAUUAGAUGUGGUUAUAAUUGUGGUAGGUGUGGUUAUAGGUGUAGUGGUACUGGGUGUGGUGGUGGUGGUGGGCUCUGUCACUGUUGUGUGGUUUUCAAUGUAUUGUAGAAAUAAAAAAAAAAGAAAUAGUUAACAAAUACUGCUUAAUAACAGUUCAAGGCAAUACAGAAAACAUUCUAAAUAGUUUUGAAUGAAAUUAUAUUGAUGAUUUUGCUUGUUUGACUUACGUGUUACUCUGGUGAUAUUAAGAGUGGCUUGGGCUUGCAUAACAGUAUUUGCUAUGUCCCCGGUAUUGGCUAAUUGGGCUCCAAAUGUCACAUCCAUUUCAGUAACGAUUGACCCUGGACUACAAAAGAGAAAGUGUCAUAAAGAAUCAUAGAGAAAGAGUGUUAUUAUACAAUGGUGUCAUAUACUUUAAUCAAAAACUCAGUACACUAUUUAUUACAUUUGUUUCAAGAUGGUUAUUCAUGUAGAUUUCCUCCUUCAUAAACCAGUAAAAAUAAAAAUUUUGGAUUAACAAAAAUUAUUUUUUGUAAAUUUGGAAUAAUAUUAAGAAGCAGUUUGUAUAAACAAAGAGUCCAACAAACAAUGGUACAUGACCAACACUGACAUUUGAUCUCACCAUCAUCUGGCAUUACACAAAGAGACAGAAGCAACUGAUAUUAAAGCCUAAAUCAAUUGAAAAAUUUUGUAAAAUACUGUAAAAGCAGGAUUUGUUUUGAAAAUAACACCAUGAUCUUUUGACAUUGAACAUCUAUUACGCAAUCAAGAUGACGUUUCCGUCCCAAAGAGGUUCAAAAUCACUCUCACUGAUCUUUCCUGGACUGUGCACAGCUGGUGGAAUGUCCUCCCAAUCUCAAUUUGAACAGAUUUUCAAAAACAUCUAAAGACUUAUCUUUUUCGCCAGAACUUGACCAACUAAUACUAGCACUUAUUUUUCUUUUCUAUUGUAUUCUUAAGAAGAAAAAAAAAAACAUCGCUGCGGAUUCUUUACAAGACUAACUGAGACUUUUCAUGGCACUUGUAUACUGUUGUUCUCUUGUUGGUCUGAUUGCUUCAACUGUUCUUAUUUGUAAGUUGCUUAGGAUAAAAGUUUCUGCUAAAUUAUUAAAUGUAAUGAAAAUGAUUAGCCGCGGCUGUGCUCAGAAACAAUCAUCUAAUCACACUGCUUUACAGUAGUGAAUAUCCUGUUUCUAUGUACAAAAUGCAUAUGAAAAAAGUGGUAGACACAGAGUGAGCUGCAGUGUGAAAUUGAUAUGAUCCAAGUUGUCUGAAAAAUGAGAAUGCUUUAUAUUUAUAAGUGUAAGCGUAAACAUUUAACGUCUUUCCAUGUCAUGCUUUGACAGAUACGUUUGCUGUUGAAUGCCUCUGAUGUAUGUUUUCCUCAUUGCAUAACAUAUAUUUUAUGGUUGUAGCAUUAUCUGUAAAUACUAGAAAGUAUUUCCAAGGGCCUGAUGAGGGAGAAGGGGUCCGGAGCACAAUUUUUACUGAGGGAGAUUAACCACUCCCCAACUUCCCAUUAUGUUUAAAAUUGUUUAAACCUUUUUGCUUAUACUAUUCAGCAUAACCUUCACAGAAACAUUGACUAUUUGUUUUCCAGUAUGUUAUAUUACAUAUUGUUAAGAGGCCACCAUUGGGUAAGAUGUGGAAUAACAUUGUUUAAAAUAAUUGAUAAAAAGUAUAUAUAUAUAUAUAUAUAUGUGUGUGUGUGUGUGUGUGUGUGUGUGUGUGUGUGUGUGUUUUUCAUCUGAUUAAAUAAAAAACAAUCGACAGAUUAUCAAAAAGAUUAGUUGAAUACCUAGAUUUAGGAUUUAGCCUCAGUUACCUCUGUCUGUGUGAUCCCAUAGGAAUGUUUGGAAAUCUAAAAUUAUUAUUUAUUAUAUGUACAAUAAAGAAGAAACAUGUUUUAAUAGCCAUCUAGAUUGUGCUGUAAACCAGAGACUUUUGUCUUCCAAAAAUGAAAUGUAUUUCUUUUUAAAGGGAGGAAAUACUUACCGGAACUUAAUAACUACCAGACUAUUGAAGGAGGAGAAUUUGCUUUUAAAUAAUGGUUCCAACUGUGGAAAACAGGUUGAUAAUGUCAGGUUCAAUAUUGAUUUAACAAUUCAGAAUUUUAAUUACAGCAAAAAAAUAUGCCAUGAAAGAGAUUUGAUAGUCAUUCAUUAGUUUUAACAUAAUAAAAAUUUACUGUUGCACCAAUUUUUUUUAUAUUUUUUUGUGAUUGCAAUUAUUUUUUUCACUU